rnacentral:rRNA from 1 species
AACCGAGUCUUAACUGGGCGUUAAGUUGCAGGGUAUAGACCCGAAACCCGGUGAUCUAGCCAUGGGCAGGUUGAAGGUUGGGUAACACUAACUGGAGGACCGAACCGACUAAUGUUGAAAAAUUAGCGGAUGACUUGUGGCUGGGGGUGAAAGGCCAAUCAAACCGGGAGAUAGCUGGUUCUCCCCGAAAGCUAUUUAGGUAGCGCCUCGUGAAUUCAUCUCCGGGGGUAGAGCACUGUUUCGGCAAGGGGGUCAUCCCGACUUACCAACCCGAUGCAAACUGCGAAUACCGGAGAAUGUUAUCACGGGAGACACACGGCGGGUGCUAACGUCCGUCGUGAAGAGGGAAACAACCCAGACCGCCAGCUAAGGUCCCAAAGUCAUGGUUAAGUGGGAAACGAUGUGGGAAGGCCCAGACAGCCAGGAUGUUGGCUUAGAAGCAGCCAUCAUUUAAAGAAAGCGUAAUAGCUCACUGGUCGAGUCGGCCUGCGCGGAAGAUGUAACGGGGCUAAACCAUGCACCGAAGCUGCGGCAGCGACGCUUAUGCGUUGUUGGGUAGGGGAGCGUUCUGUAAGCCUGUGAAGGUGUGCUGUGAGGCAUGCUGGAGGUAUCAGAAGUGCGAAUGCUGACAUAAGUAACGAUAAAGCGGGUGAAAAGCCCGCUCGCCGGAAGACCAAGGGUUCCUGUCCAACGUUAAUCGGGGCAGGGUGAGUCGACCCCUAAGGCGAGGCCGAAAGGCGUAGUCGAUGGGAAACAGGUUAAUAUUCCUGUACUUGGUGUUACUGCGAAGGGGGGACGGAGAAGGCUAUGUUGGCCGGGCGACGGUUGUCCCGGUUUAAGCGUGUAGGCUGGUUUUCCAGGCAAAUCCGGAAAAUCAAGGCUGAGGCGUGAUGACGAGGCACUACGGUGCUGAAGCAACAAAUGCCCUGCUUCCAGGAAAAGCCUCUAAGCAUCAGGUAACAUCAAAUCGUACCCCAAACCGACACAGGUGGUCAGGUAGAGAAUACCAAGGCGCUUGAGAGAACUCGGGUGAAGGAACUAGGCAAAAUGGUGCCGUAACUUCGGGAGAA